AAAUAUAUUUUAAACGACGGAC
rnacentral:miRNA from 1 species